rnacentral:rRNA from 1 species
GAUGAACGCUAGCUACAGGCUUAACACAUGCAAGUCGAGGGGAAACGACAUCGAAAGCUUGCUUUUGAUGGGCGUCGACCGGCGCACGGGUGAGUAACGCGUAUCCAACCUGCCCACCACUUGGGGAUAACCUUGCGAAAGUAAGACUAAUACCCAAUGAUAUCUCUAGAAGACAUCUGAAAGAGAUUAAAGAUUUAUCGGUGAUGGAUGGGGAUGCGUCUGAUUAGCUUGUUGGCGGGGUAACGGCCCACCAAGGCUACGAUCAGUAGGGGUUCUGAGGCGAAGGUCCCCCACAUUGGAACUGAGACACGGUCCAAACUCCUACGGGAGGCAGCAGUGAGGAAUAUUGGUCAAUGGACGAGAGUCUGAACCAGCCAAGUAGCGUGCAGGAGGACGGCCCUAUGGUUUGUAAACUGCUUUUAUAAGGGAAUAAAGUGAGUCUCGUGAGACUUUUUGCAUGUACCUUAUGAAUAAGGACCGGCUAAUUCCGUGCCAGCCGCCGCCGUAA